CUCGGCCCAGAUGCGAGGAAGUUGAGAGGAGCCUCGUUAUCAACACAGCCUUAAACCCAGCCUAUUUAUAAAUAGCAGGGGCCAGCCCUUCACCCAUCAUUACUUGUGACAUUCCUCACAAUUGACUGUGACACAGCUAGUGUGUCACAACACAAAUGCUGAGGACCACAGCAAAGGAAACUCUUGUCAAUGCUCUUCUCACAAGCAGAAAACAACGUACAGAGUUUCCCAUCAUCGUGUAUGACUUUCCUGAUCCGGUUUGCCCAUAUGCAAACACACAAGCAUUAUAACCUUCAAAUGCAGACUUCACAACAUCUGUGCCGAGGGCUUUGAAAACCUGAAAGCAGGAACAAACAAAAAAAACACAAAAGACACAAUUACCAUAGAUUUUAAUAAGAGCCCCUUUAAUGUUGACAAA